CACCAGUGAAGUCUUCUCAACCUGGGCAAUCAUGUGAGCUUGGAAGAUGAUGCAUCCCCAUCUCAUCUUUCAGGUGAAACCUCAGCCUUGGCCAUCACCUACAUCUGGAUUUCUGACCCAGAGAAACUGUUUGGAAUAGUUCACCAGUGAAGUCAUCUCAACCAGCACAGGGCCUUGACUCCUAACAACAAUCACACGAACUUGGAAGAGGAGCCUUCCCCAGCUGAACCUUCACUUGAGACCUCAUCCUUGGCCAUCAUCUACA
rnacentral:lncRNA from 1 species